UAUGUGAUCGUCUCUCGCAUAUCAAUAAGCGGAGGAAAAGAAACUAACAAGGAUUCCCCUAGUAACGGCGAGUGAAGCGGGAAGAGCUCAAAUUUGAAAUCUUAAAGGGUUUCCCUUUACGAAUUGUAGUUUAAAGAAGUGUUUUCUGUUGAGGUUUUGGUAAAAGUUCUUUGGAAUAGGACAUCAUAGAGGGUGAGAAUCCCGUAUUUGACCUUUACUUUCAACUUUGUGAUACACUUUCAAAGAGUCGGAUUGUUUGGGAAUGCAGUCCAAAAUGGGUGGUAAAUUUCAUCUAAAGCUAAAUAUUGGCGAGAGACCGAUAGCGAACAAGUACCGUGAGGGAAAGAUGAAAAGAACUUUGAAAAGAGAGUUAAACAGUACGUGAAAUUGUCAAAAGGGAAGCGUUUGACACCAGUGUUGUUUUUCUGAAAAUCAAUUAAAGAACUGUUUAUGCUAAGUUGUUUAGACUUUAUCAGCUAACUGUUUAGUUUUGAGCUUUUCUUUAAUGCACUUUUCAGUUAACAAGUCAACAUCAAUUUCUUUUGCUGUAAAAAAGCUUGAGGAAGGUGGCUUGAGAUUCGUCUUAAGUGUUUAUAGCCUCUUGCCUAUGCAGUCGGAGAGAUUGAGGUCUGCAGCGUAGAUCCUUCGGGGCUAAAUGCAUUUGUGCCUAAGUUAUAGCAUUUUAUAGACAACUUGUUGACUAUGAUUUGUCUUGUAGCUUACUCGCUUAUGUUAUUUUACCUACGCUUAGGAUGUUGACUGAUAUGUAGUCGUA
rnacentral:rRNA from 1 species